UACGAAGGGGGGCUAGCGUUGCUCGGAAUGACUGGGCGUAAAGGGCGCGUAGGCGGAUGGCACAGUCAGAUGUGAAAUUCCCCGGGGCUUAACCUGGGGGGCUGCAUUUGAUACGUGUUGUCUUGAGUUCGGAAGAGGGUCGUGGAAUUCCCAGUGUAGAGGUGAAAUUCGUAGAUAUUGGGAAGAACACCGGUGGCGAAGGCGGCGACCUGGUCCGACACUGACGCUGAGGCGCGAAAGCGUGGGGAGCAACAGG
rnacentral:rRNA from 1 species